UGUGUGUGUGUGUGUGUGUGUGUGUGUAUAUGUAUAUAUAUAUAUAUAUAUAUAUAUAUAUAUAUGCGUACACACACACACACACACUCACA